GGUUAAUUCCGUUAACGAACGAGACCUCAGCCUGCUAACUAGCUAUGCGGAGGUAUACCUUCGCAGCUAGCUUCUUAGAGGGACUAUGGCCUUUUAGGCCACGGAAGUUUGAGGCAAUAACAGGUCUGUGAUGCCCUUAGAUGUUCUGGGGCCGCACGCGCGCUAACACUGAUGUAUUCAACGAGUCUAUAGCCUUGAACCGACAGGUCCGGGUAAUCUUUGAAAUUUCAUCGUGAUGGGGGAUAGAUCAUUGCAAUUGUU
rnacentral:rRNA from 1 species